rnacentral:tRNA from 1 species
AAAGGGAGACCUAAUUCGGGUAUAAGACGAAAAAAAAGUAGUCCCAACCAAGAAUCAAUCCCAAAAGGUCGGAGCGAGGCGAAAUUGGCUUUCAAACUAGGUUCUGGGUUCACAGAAGACCUGAAUCAGGAACAAGGGCUAUUAGCUCAGGUGGUUAGAGCGCACCCCUGAUAAGGGUGAGGUCCCUGGUUCGAGUCCAGGAUGGCCCACCUGCACAGGUGGUAAAAACAAGAGAAGCGAGGAAUCAGCACCUUAUCUUACUUACAUAGUAAGAGAGAAUGCUGGCUCUGAGUAAAGAGUCCAGAGGAACCUUGAAAACUGCAUAGAGCUAGGUGAAAAAGCCAAAAAAGAAGACCGCAAG